AGAGUUUGAUCCUGGCUCAGAACGAACGCUGGCGGCGUGCCUAACACAUGCAAGUCGAGCGAGAAAGCCCGCAAGGGUGAGUAAAGCGGCGCACGGGUGCGUAACACGUGGGUAAUCUGCCCUGAAGUCCGGAAUAACUCGCCGAAAGGCGUGCUAAUGCCGGAUAAGACCACGGGAGCUUCGGCUCCUGCGGGAAAAGGUGGCCUCUGUAUACAAGCUAUCACUUCAGGAUGAGCCCGCGGCCCAUCAGCUUGUUGGCGGGGUAAUGGCCCACCAAGGCUACGACGGGUAGCUGGUCUGAGAGGACGAUCAGCCACACUGGAACUGAGAUACGGUCCAGACUCCUACGGGAGGCAGCAGUGGGGAAUCUUGCGCAAUGGGCGAAAGCCUGACGCAGCAACGCCGCGUGUGUGAUGAAGGUCUUCGGAUCGUAAAGCACUGUCGCGAGGGACGAAUAAGGGCCGGGCUAACAUCCCGGUCCGAUGACGGUACCUCGAGAGGAAGCACCGGCUAACUCUGUGCCAGCAGCCGCGGUAAUACAGAGGGUGCAAGCGUUGUUCGGAAUUAUUGGGCGUAAAGCGCGUGUAGGCGGCUUAGUAAGUUGGGUGUGAAAGCCCUCGGCUUAACCGAGGAAGUGCGCCCAAAACUGCUUGGCUUGAGUGCCGGAGAGGGUGGCGGAAUUCCCGGUGUAGAGGUGAAAUUCGUAGAUAUCGGGAGGAACACCAGCGGCGAAGGCGGCCACCUGGACGGUAACUGACGCUGAGACGCGAAAGCGUGGGGAGCAAACAGGAUUAGAUACCCUGGUAGUCCACGCUGUAAACGAUGAGCGCUAGGUGUUGUGGGUGUUGACCCCCGCAGUGCCGCAGCUAACGCAUUAAGCGCUCCGCCUGGGAAGUACGGCCGCAAGGCUAAAACUCAAAGGAAUUGAUGG
rnacentral:rRNA from 1 species